CAUGACACGCACUAAACUAAAGAUACACAGGAAAGAAGACUUCCAGAAUUGUUUCAGAAAAUUGUAAGAAAAACAGGAUGAGUGUGUUGGAAGGAAAGGUAAGAAGUAAAGCCUAAAGUUGAAUAACUUUUCCAGAGUCACAGACAGUAAGUGGCAGAGAUGGAUUUAACCAUUUCAAGGUUUUUUACCCUGUCAUCCCCAUACUGGUUCUGAUUCAUCAAGGCCAACUUUGCUUUGAUUUCCAUCCCCUGUGAUCCUGAGAUGAUUUAAAAGGGUCAAACCACCAAUCCUAUAAGAAGAGGCUGUAAAACUUGAACAAGACUGUAAAGUGACUCAGGAACACAUGAAUGCUAAAGUACUUUCUACUCUUUCAGUAUCCUAAAGUCUUAUGCUUUUU
ensembl:lncRNA